rnacentral:rRNA from 1 species
GAUGAACGCUGGCGGCGUGCCUAAUACAUGCAAGUCGAGCGAACAGACGAGGAGCUUGCUCCUCUGACGUUAGCGGCGGACGGGUGAGUAACACGUGGAUAACCUACCUAUAAGACUGGGAUAACUUCGGGAAACCGGAGCUAAUACCGGAUAAUAUAUUGAACCGCAUGGUUCAAUAGUGAAAGACGGUUUUGCUGUCACUUAUCGAUGGAUCCGCGCCGCAUUAGCUAGUUGGUAAGGUAACGGCUUACCAAGGCGACGAUGCGUAGCCGACCUGAGAGGGUGAUCGGCCACACUGGAACUGAGACACGGUCCAGACUCCUACGGGAGGCAGCAGUAGGGAAUCUUCCGCAAUGGGCGAAAGCCUGACGGAGCAACGCCGCGUGAGUGAUGAAGGUCUUCGGAUCGUAAAACUCUGUUAUUAGGGAAGAACAAAUGUGUAAGUAACGAUGCACGUCUUGACGGUACCUAAUCAGAAAGCCACGGCUAACUACGU